ACGGACAUAUCAAAUCGAAACAUCAGUUCUCGUUCGAUCAUUGAAGUUAAGCAUCUUUGAGUCUGGUCAGUACCUAGAUGGGUAACCGCUUGGAAUGCAAGGUGCU